UACAGAGACCUCAAGCGUUAUCCGGAAUCAUUGGGCGUAAAGCGUACCGAUAGGUGGUCUUACAAGUCAGAAGUGAAAUCUUAAAGCUUAACUUUGAGACUGUCUUUUGAAACUGUAAGACUAGAGGGGCAAAGAGGAAGCUGGAACGAACGGUGUAGUAGUGAAAUGCGUUGAUAUCAUUCGGAACACCAAUAGCGUAGGCAAGCUUCUGGGUGCCACCUGACACUGCUAGGACGAAAGCGUGGGGAGCGAAUGGG
rnacentral:rRNA from 1 species